AUACUUCCCUGGAAAGGGAGACACCAUUGAUCACGUAGGUGGUUUGCCCAGGGCAAUGCUCACCCAAUGCACUUGGGGUGUGCUGACCCCUGCAAUUUCCCCAAAUGCGGGAAACUCGACUGCAUAAUUUGUGGUAGUGGGGGACUGCACACUAUCCCCUG